CUACGGGGUGCUGCAGUGAGGAAUAUUGGGCAAUGGAGGCAACUCUGACCCAGCCAUGCCGCGUGCAGGAAGACGGCCCUCUGGGUUGUAAACUGCUUUUGUUUGGGAAUAAACCCUUCUACGUGUAGAAGGCUGAAGGUACCUUACGAAUAAGGAUCGGCUAACUCCGUGCCAGCAGCCGCGGUAAUACGGAGGAUCCAAGCGUUAUCCGGGAUUUUGGGUUUAAAGGGUCCGUAGGCGGGUCUUUAAGUCAGUGGUGAAAGCCCACAGCUCAACUGUGGGACUGCCAUUGAUACUGGAGAUCUUGAGUGUAGUAGAAGUAGGCGGAAUAGGGCAUGUAGCGGUGAAAUGCAUAGAUAUGCCCUAGAACACCGAUUGCGAAGGCAGCUUACUAUGUUACAACUGACGCUGAGGGACGAAAGCGUGGGGAGCAAACAGGAUUAGAUACCCUGGUAGUC
rnacentral:rRNA from 1 species